GUGAGGGCAGGAGCCUGGAGGGAGCCUGCUCUGGGGCUGCGCUGGGCGCUGCUGCUAUUGGUCUGGAUGUGGCGUCCGUGGGCUGAGCUUAGCCCCUCCCCUGCCUUGCAAGCCCAGCUUGGUAUCCGGAGCGGGGAUUCCGGGAUUCCGGAGCAGGGGCGCGGGGUCAGCUCCCCCUCCAGUGGGGGCUGGGUGAGCCACAGGCCUCUCCGAGCCAGGGCUGAGGGCUAAUGGCACACUCUAGCUCUCCUGGCAGUUCCCCAGAAGCAGUGUUCUGCAGAAGCUGCAGGUGUCUGCGCCGGGAUAACCCCGCCAUGAGAGGCCCGGCCAGCCCAGCUCCCCGCGGGCCACAAAGCCAGGAUCCGCACAGAGGCUAAGCAGGUCGCCUGGGCCGUCUGGGUGGGAGCCAGCGAGCAGACGCGUUGGCUGUGAGACCCGCGACACAGCACCAGGCAGCUGCCCUUCGAAGUCUGGCGCACUCUGUCGCCCAGUCGCCGGUGAGGGCUGGCUCUUCUGCUCUCCCUGCUUGCUCUCGGUCCAUCAAGGGUGCGCACAGCUCACCAGCUCGCUCGGCCCAGAAGCGGGAAGUCUACCUGCUGCCAGCCGGCUUCCCAAGCCUCCGGGGCUCCACCUGCAGCCCUCAGGCGAGCUCCAUCCUCUCGUGCCCAGCGGCGCUAGGUCACCACGCUAUCGCCUCUCUCACCAGCUGCGCACCGUCUAGGCGGGCCGCCUGCCACCAGGGGCGCCAAUCACCUUCCCGCUGCGCUCGGAACCGCCAAGCAAUCCCUUGGAGAGAUAAUUAGCCCUGAAGCUGGGAAACUUGCCUUCUAGAACAUUCUCCCCACUGAUGAGAGAACUGAUCCUGGGCAAGUCCAUCCUCCUUCCAUGACCUCAGAGUCCAAGUCCCUUCCAACUCUAAAAUACAGUGACUUGUGAAUGAAAUAGUCAUUUUCUGGGAAACCAAAAUGCUUUUGGGGACAACAGCUAGACAACUAAAGAAAUUAGACUGAGGUUUUGAGGGGCAGGGAGAAGCAGGAGGAGUGAAAAAUGCCAGAGAGCCAAUCCAAACAACAGAAAAGGUGAGGUGUUCUUUCUCCAUGGCUGUUACCCAUGUCAGCUUCUAUCCCAGAUUCUGUCCCAGUGGCCCCCAGGCUAGGGGUCUAACUGGAGCUACAGCUCAGAUCCCAUGUU